AGCGAAUAGAUACCCCGGUAGUCCCAGCCGUAAACGAUGCUCGCUAGGUGUCAGGCAUGGCGCGACCGUGUCUGGUGCCGCAGGGAAGCCGUGAAGCGAGCCACCUGGGAAGUACGGCCGCAAGGCUGAAACUUAAAGGAAUUGGCGGGGGAGCACAACAACGGGUGGAGCCUGCGGUUUAAUUGGACUCAACGCCGGACAACUCACCGGGGGCGACAGCAAUAUGUAGGCCAGGCUGAAGACCUUGCCUGAAUCGCUGAGAGGAGGUGCAUGGCCGUCGCCAGUUCGUACUGUGAAGCAUCCUGUUAAGUCAGGCAACGAGCGAGACCCGUGCCCACUGUUACCAGCAUGUCCUCCGGGACGAUGGGUACUCUGUGGGGACCGCCGAUGUUAAAUCGGAGGAAGGUGCGGGCCACGGUAGGUCAGUAUGCCCCGAAUCUCCCGGGCUACACGCGGGCUACAAUGGAUGGGACAAUGGGUCCCUCCCCUGAAAAGGGCUGGUAAUCUCACAAACCCAUUCGUAGUUCGGAUCGAGGGCUGUAAC
rnacentral:rRNA from 1 species